rnacentral:rRNA from 1 species
GAUGAACGCUGGCGGCGUGCCUAAUACAUGCAAGUCGAGCGAACAGACGAGGAUCUUGCUCCUCUGACGUUAGCGGCGGACGGGUGAGUAACACGUGGAUAACCUACCUAUAAGACUGGGAUAACUUCGGGAAACCGGAGCUAAUACCGGAUAAUAUAUUGAACCGCAUGGUUCAAUAGUGAGAGACGGUUUUGCUGUCACUUAUAGAUGGAUCGCGCCGCAUUAGCUAGUUGGUAAGGUAACGGCUUACCAAGGCAACGAUGCGUAGCCGACCUGAGAGGGUGAUCGGCCACACUGGAACUGAGACACGGUCCAGACUCCUACGGGAGGCAGCAGUAGGGAAUCUUACGCAAUGGGCGAAAGCCUGACGGAGCAACGCCGCGUGAGUGAUGAAGGUCUUCGGAUCGUAAAACUCUGUUAUUAGGGAAGAACAAAUGUGUAAGUAACUAUGCACGUCUUGACGGUACCUAAUCAGAAAGCCACGGCUAACUACGUG